rnacentral:rRNA from 1 species
CGAACGCUGGCGGCAUGCCUAACACAUGCAAGUCGAACGAGACCUUCGGGUCUAGUGGCGCACGGGUGCGUAACGCGUGGGAACCUGCCUUUAGGUUCGGAAUAACUCAGAGAAAUUUGAGCUAAUACCGGAUAAUGUCUUCAGACCAAAGAUUUAUCGCCUUUAGAUGGGCCCGCGUUGGAUUAGCUAGUUGGUGGGGUAAAGGCCUACCAAGGCGACGAUCCAUAGCUGGUCUGAGAGGAUGAUCAGCCACACUGGGACUGAGACACGGCCCAGACUCCUACGGGAGGCAGCAGUGGGGAAUAUUGGACAAUGGGCGAAAGCCUGAUCCAGCAAUGCCGCGUGAGUGAUGAAGGCCUUAGGGUUGUAAAGCUCUUUUACCCGAGAUGAUAAUGACAGUAUCGGGAGAAUAAGCUCCGGCUAACUCCGUGCCAGCAG